rnacentral:rRNA from 1 species
GACGAACGCUGGCGGCGUGCUUAACACAUGCAAGUCGAACGGAAAGGCCCUGCUUUUGUGGGGUGCUCGAGUGGCGAACGGGUGAGUAACACGUGAGUAACCUGCCCUUGACUUUGGGAUAACUUCAGGAAACUGGGGCUAAUACCGGAUAGGAGCUCCUGCUGCAUGGUGGGGGUUGGAAAGUUUCGGCGGUUGGGGAUGGACUCGCGGCUUAUCAGCUUGUUGGUGGGGUAGUGGCUUACCAAGGCUUUGACGGGUAGCCGGCCUGAGAGGGUGACCGGCCACAUUGGGACUGAGAUAGGGACCAGACUCCUACGGGAGGCAGCAGUGGGGAGUAUUGCACAAUGGGCGGAAGCCUGAUGCAGCAACGCCGCGUGCGGGAUGACGGCCUUCGGGUUGUAAACCGCUUUCGCCUGUGACGAAGCGUGAGUGACGGUAAUGGGUAAAGAAGCACCGGCUAACUACGUG